UGGGGAAUAUUGCACAAUGGAGGGAACUCUGAUGCAGCGACGCCGCGUGAACGAAGAAGGCUUUCGAGUCGUAAAGUUCUUUUAUAUGGGAAGAUAAUGACGGUACCAUAAGAAAAAGCCCCGGCUAACUACGUGCCAGCAGCCGCGGUAAUACGUAGGGGGCUAGCGUUGUCCGGAAUCACUGGGCGUAAAGGGUUCGCAGGCGGAAAUGCAAGUCAGGUGUAAAAGGCAGUAGCUUAACUACUGUAAGCAUUUGAAACUGCAUAUCUUGAGAAGAGUAGAGGUAAGUGGAAUUUUUAGUGUAGCGGUGAAAUGCGUAGAUAUUAAAAAGAAUACCGGUGGCGAAGGCGACUUACUGGGCUCAUUCUGACGCUGAGGAACGAAAGCGUGAGUAGCAAACAGG
rnacentral:rRNA from 1 species